AGAACGAACGCUGGCGGCAGGCUUAACACAUGCAAGUCGAACGCAUGUCUUCGGACAUGAGUGGCAGACGGGUGAGUAACGCGUGGGAACGUACCCUUCGGUUCGGAAUAACCCGGGGAAACUCGGGCUAAUACCGAAUACGUCCUGCCCCUUAAACAAGGGUGGGAGAAAGAUUUAUCGCCGAAGGAUCGGCCCGCGUCGGAUUAGCUAGUGGUGAGGUAACGCCCACAAGGCUACGAUCCGUAGCUGGUCUGAGAGGAUGAUCAGCCACACUGGGACUGAGACACGGCCCAGACUCCGUACGGGAGCAGCAGUGGGGAAUAGUUGGACAAGUGGGACGAAAGCCUGGAUCCAGCCAUGCCGCGUGAGUAGAAGAACGGCCGUAGGGUAGUAAAGC
rnacentral:rRNA from 1 species